UGAGAGCCUAGAAACAAACAUACCAAGUCGUCAAAUGGUUUCAAUAUGAUCGCACUCGGUCGCACUCGAUGGCACUCGGUCGCACACGAUCGCACUCGAUGGCACACGAUGAAACUCGAUCGCACACGGUACCUAAGAAAGUCAGGCAACAGACAAAAAAACACUAAAAUCAGAAAAACCACUUGAAAAGCAUGUAAACAUGCCAGCUGACAAGUAACCACAUCAUUGCUGAAAAACAGAUAAAUUAACUGCAAAGAUACGAAUAAAGAGAAUCAUACGUCAUGUCAACACGUCACCAAUUGGGAGAUACAAACAGAACAGGGAUUCCAACGUACCUACGGAUGUUUUGGUCGAUACAGGUGACUA